UACAUGGGGUGCAAUCGUUGCUCGGAAUUAUUGGGCGUAAAGCGCGCGUAGGCGGUUACUCAAGUCGGAUGUGAAAGCCCUCGGCUUAACUGAGGAAGUGCACCCGAAACUGAGUAGCUAGAGUACUAAAGAGGGUCGCGGAAUUCCCGGUGUAGAGGUGAAAUUCGUAGAUAUUCGCAAGAACACCAGUGGCGAAGGCGGCUCACUGGCCCGAUACUGACGCUGAGGCACGAAAGCGUGGGGAGCAAACAGG
rnacentral:rRNA from 1 species